rnacentral:rRNA from 1 species
UACGUAGGGUGCAGGCGUUAAUCGGAAUCACUGGGCGUAAAGCGCACGUAGGCCGAUUGUUAAGUCAGGGGUGAAAUCCUGGAGCUCAACUCCAGAACUGCCCUUGAUACUGACGGUCUCGAGUCCGGGAGAGGUGAGUGGAACUGCGAGUGUAGAGGUGAAAUUCGUAGAUAUUCGCAAGAACACCAGUGGCGAAGGCGGCUCACUGGCCCGGUACUGACGCUGAGGUGCGAAAGCGUGGGGAGCAAACAGG